GGCUCAGGCUAAUGGAGAUAGGACUUAAGCACUGCAGAUUCUGUGAUAAAAGGACUGCCCCGAAACCCCACUGAAUCCUCUAUGACAGAGAACAUUAUGAAGUCACAGUGACUGUGUUUUACAGUGUCUUAUUAACUGGACCUUUCAGAUAGAGUCAAGAAAUGAUUAGUAUCAAGAAAAGCCACGAAAACCAACUCUCAACUAAACAAGGAACAAAUGCUACACAACCACCAGUUACUAAGAAUCCUACUUAAUGAUGAGUUGAGAUGAGAUGAGAUGAGAUGAGAUGAGAUGAAGACUCCAGAAGACUGGAAGGAAAAGAGAAAAGAAGAGAGGAAACUAUCAGUAUUGAAACCUAUCUCAAUAUAAGACAGUUUUAUUAUCUGAGUUCUAUUUAAUUUCAUCUUUAUUAAAUUGUAAUCAUGUAUAUA